rnacentral:rRNA from 1 species
UACGUAGGUGGCAAGCGUUGUCCGGAUUUACUGGGCGUAAAGAGCGCGCAGGCGGUCGUUCAAGUCGCGUGUGAAACCCCCCGGCUCAACUGGGGAGGGUCACGCGAUACUGAUCGACUCGAAGGCAGGAGAGGGAAGUGGAAUUCCCGGUGUAGUGGUGAAAUGCGUAGAUAUCGGGAGGAACACCAGUGGCGAAGGCGACUUCCUGGCCUGUUCUUGACGCUGAGGCGCGAAAGCUAGGGGAGCAAACGGG